rnacentral:rRNA from 1 species
GAUGAACGCUGGCGGCGUGCCUAAUACAUGCAAGUCGAGCGAACGGACGAGAAGCUUGCUUCUCUGAUGUUAGCGGCGGACGGGUGAGUAACACGUGGAUAACCUACCUAUAAGACUGGGAUAACUUCGGGAAACCGGAGCUAAUACCGGAUAAUAUUUUGAACCGCAUGAUUCAAAAGUGAAAGACGGUCUUGCUGUCACUUAUAGAUGGAUCCGCGCUGCAUUAGCUAGUUGGUAAGGUAACGGCUUACCAAGGCAACGAUGCAUAGCCGACCUGAGAGGGUGAUCUGCCACACUGGAACUGAGACACGGUCCAGACUCCUACGGGAGGCAGCAGUAGGGAAUCUUCCGCAAUGGGCGAAAGCCUGACGGAGCAACGCCGCGUGAGUGAUGAAGGUCUUCGGAUCGUAAAACCCUGUUAUUAGGGAAGAACAUAUGUGUAAGUAACUGUGCACAUCUUGACGGUACCUAAUCAGAAAUCCACGGCUAACUACGUG